AAAUAGAAUUUUUUAACUGUCCGCGUUUUUAUGAACACGGUUGUUAUAUUAACCUAACCUAACCUAAUCUAACCGCUUUCGACAUUUCUAAAGAAACAGCGAAAAUUGCCUUUGCAUUUGAAACAGAUGACCCUAUCAUUUUCCUUUUGUGUUAUGGAAUUUUCUCCGAAAACAGAGACUAUUGCGCAUCACUUGCAGUUGACUUACGGACA